AUGUUCCUGCAGGUUUUUACAGACAUGAGGAUCAUCACACGAGUCUCUUUUCUAUCACUGUGGUGGACUUUCGGCAGCGGCACCAAACUGGAUGUUGGCAGCGUCACUCGUCCUAAAGUGAGCGUCCUGCCGCCCUCCAGUGCAGAGAUCUCCUCAAAGAAGACAGCGACACUGGUGUGUGUGGCCAGCAAGGGCUUCCCGUCAGACUGGAGCCUGAGCUGGAAGGUGGACGGGAGCAGCAGGUCUCAGGAGAGCAGCGCUGGGCUCCUGGAGAAGGACGGUCUGUACAGCUGGAGCAGCAGCCUGACUCUCUCUGAGCAGGAGUGGAUGGAGAGCGUCUCAGUGAGCUGUGAGGCCACACGGAGCGGCCAGCCUGCGCUCACUGGACACGUGACGAGACAGCAGUGUUCAGAGUAGAUCUGCUGCUCUUCUCACUCAUGUCUCACAUGGAGACUAACAGCACAUGAGCGACUCCUUCAUUCUCCACAUCCAGCUUCAGUCGCUCGCCUCUGCAUCUGCUCUGCUUUGUGUGCUUCAUACAAGACUAUAUGUGUGCUUUAUCAUUCUGUCGUGAUUUUAUUGCGAUUCAGUCAAUAAAUAAAACUGUAGCUUCAUGUCUUUGAGUCUUUUUGUGUCAUUUUCAUUUCAGGUCUUUCAUUGGUUCAAAGCUUUAGCUCACAUUUUAUGAAUAAACUUCACUCAAUGGAGCAUGAAAACACCUGCAGAUUCAUGAUGAUACAAGAACAUGCGGCCA